rnacentral:rRNA from 1 species
CCUACGGGAGGCAGCAGUGGGGAAUAUUGGACAAUGGGGGGAACCCUGAUCCAGCCAUGCCGCGUGUGUGAAGAAGGCCCUCGGGUUGUAAAGCACUUUCAGUGAGGAAGAACGCCUGGUGGUUAAUACCCAUCAGGAAAGACAUCACUCACAGAAGAAGCACCGGCUAACUCCGUGCCAGCAGCCGCGGUAAUACGGAGGGUGCGAGCGUUAAUCGGAAUUACUGGGCGUAAAGCGCGCGUAGGUGGCUUGAUAAGCCGGUUGUGAAAGCCCCGGGCUCAACCUGGGAACGGCAUCCGGAACUGUCAAGCUAGAGUGCAGGAGAGGAAGGUAGAAUUCCCGGUGUAGCGGUGAAAUGCGUAGAGAUCGGGAGGAAUACCAGUGGCGAAGGCGGCCUUCUGGACUGACACUGACACCGAGGUGCGAAAGCGUGGGUAGCAAACAGGAUUAGAUACCCGUGUAGUC